AUGUUGCUCCUGGUGUUCAUUAUAUUUUCUCUUCUAAAAGAGAAUGCUGCUGCUGAUGUCAUAAAACCAGUCUUCACAGAGAAGCAGGUUUUGGCAGGAAAAAAUGUUACACUGAUCUGCAACUACACUGGAAAUGUUCAGAAUUUACAGUGGUACCGUCAGUAUCCUGGAUCCAAACCUGAGCACCUCAUUAUGUUCUUUGAAACCAGCCCUAAACCAAAGCCUGCUCUCCGUCUGACCGCUGCGGCUGAUAAAGCAGCCAAAAGUAUGACUCUGACCAUCUCUUCUACAGAAGUGAAAGACUCUGCCAUGUACUACUGUGCCCUGGUGCCCACAGUGGCAGGAAACACAGCUACACUGUACAAAAACUUGUUUCUUGUAUAUUAUAUAAUCAUGCUUAUAGGAGAGAGGAGCUUCUUCCCAUGCAGAGUCUCUUUUCCCACUUUCCUUGCAUUUGCUGUAGGGCCAUAAUGUUGUCUUUCUGAGUACUUUACUAUUUUAGCAAAUUUUCAUAGUGGUGGGCUAUAUAGGUAGACACGAUUAACUGGUAGAAAUUCGUCAAGUGGUAGAGAUUUUAGAGUAUGGUCUCUUUUACGUUUACACGCUUAUGUGACUUUGCUGUGCUACAUGGUCACGAAAACUUGUUUACACAUGUUUUAAGCAUUGGAUUUUAAAAACAAUAGAUUUUAAGCCAUUGAAAUGCAAUCAGCAGUACCAGAGAACUCCUUUCACUAUAUGCGCGUGCUGUCAGAGAGGCGCAGUGUUGAAUUAUGCUAUUUUUGCUGCUUUAUACACACACUUGUAUGUGUCAAAAUGCCCGUCUUUGCAAGUGUCCUUGUAAACACAGUACUUUAGGUCUUAAGUAAAGGCAAACAGCUGAGAAAGAAAAUGUGUAAUUAAAGACCUUAUUUAAAGCAAAAACAACUACAUUGUUAGUGUAUAUAUUGUUACUGUGAAAUAAAAUUACUUAUAUCAUGCAAGAUUUUGGUCAUAUCGCCCACCCCUUAAUGUUAGAAUACCAUUUAC
rnacentral:lncRNA from 1 species